rnacentral:rRNA from 1 species
AUUGAAUGCUGGCGGCAGGCCUAACACAUGCAAGUCGAGCGGCAGCGGGAAAGUAGCUUGCUACUUUUGCCGGCGAGCGGCGGACGGGUGAGUAAUGCCUGGGAAAUUGCCCAGUCGAGGGGGAUAACAGUUGGAAACGACUGCUAAUACCGCAUACGCCCUACGGGGGAAAGCAGGGGACCUUAGGGCCUUGCGCGAUUGGAUAUGCCCAGGUGGGAUUAGCUAGUUGGUGAGGUAAUGGCUCACCAAGGCGACGAUCCCUAGCUGGUCUGAGAGGAUGAUCAGCCACACUGGAACUGAGACACGGUCCAGACUCCUACGGGAGGCAGCAGUGGGGAAUAUUGCACAAUGGGGGAAACCCUGGUGCAGCCAUGCCGCGUGUGUGAAGAAGGCCUUCGGGUUGUAAAGCACUUUCAGCGAGGAGGAAAGGUUGAUGCCUAAUACGUAUCAACUGUGACGUUACUCGCAGAAGAAGCACCGGCUAACUCCGUGCCAGCAGCCGCCGUAA